rnacentral:rRNA from 1 species
AUGGACGGUCAACCCAUCGACGCUGUCCCGCUGCAGGCAGUGUGCGCCCGUGGCAGAGUAUGGCUCCCGUUCGGGCUGAGCGGCGGCGCCGGAGCGAUCCCUACGAAACACGCGGCGUCCACCUCAAGCAGCACCGCGGCGGCACCGUUCUCUACCGAUCCCAUCAGCGCCGUCCCGCUGCGGGCGGCGUGGUUCCCAUACGUCCCUCUCGCCGCCGGUGCAGCCUCGGGCGUCGCAGGACGCCACCGCGGCCCACCGGAGCCGUCCUGGACCCGGAUACGCGCAGAGCUGGGCCUCCCGCCGGGCCACCUGCUCUACUUCAUCUCCCACAAGCGCGUCGAGCGGUCGGACCUCGACCUGCAGCAGAGCCGCCUGUUGAUACCGCGCGGCGAGGCCGCCCGCCUCCUCCCGCUCCUCUCCGACGACGGGCGCCGCGCCGCCAACCUGGACGGGCCCUGGAAGAGGCCGAAGCGGCAGACGCCCACGCCUGGCAGCAACAGCGAGAGCAGCGAGGAGAAGAAGGCGCGGGCGCAGGGGAAGAAGCACGGCGGGCUGCUCGUGCCGGUCUACCUCAACCGUGCCGGCGACCGGAUGGAUGCUCAGCUGACGCGGUGGACAUCCAACGGCAACACGGUGCUGAAAUUCGGGAACCACAAGAGCUUCGUCGACGUGAGUGGCCUACAAGUGAUGGACGAAAUCCAGAUAUGGGCGUUCCAGAACCCUGGUCUGUGUUUGGUGAUCACAAGGAUCGACGGCGGCGAGACGACGUCGGCGGCAGAAGGAGGGCAUCAGAGCAAGCCGCCUAGUAUAGUGUAG